UACGUAGGGGGCUAGCGUUGUCCGGAAUCAUUGGGCGUAAAGCGCGUGUAGGCGGUCCGGUAAGUCCGCUGUGAAAAGUCGAGGGCUCAACCCUCGAAUGCCCGGUGGAUAACUGUCGGGCUUGAGUACGGGAGAGGCGAAGUGGAAUUCCUGGUGUAGCGGUAGAAAUGCGCAGAUAUCAGGAGGAACACCGAUGCGAAGG
rnacentral:rRNA from 1 species